rnacentral:rRNA from 1 species
UGGAAGUAAAAGUCGUAACAAGGUCUCCGUUGGUGAACCAGCGGAGGGAUCAUUACUGAGUUUACGCUCUACAACCCUUUGUGAACAUACCUAUAACUGUUGCUUCGGCGGGUAGGGUCUCCGUGACCCUCCCGGCCUCCCGCCCCCGGGCGGGUCGGCGCCCGCCGGAGGAUAACCAAACUCUGAUUUAACGACGUUUCUUCUGAGUGGUACAAGCAAAUAAUCAAAACUUUUAACAACGGAUCUCUUGGUUCUGGCAUCGAUGAAGAACGCAGCGAAAUGCGAUAAGUAAUGUGAAUUGCAGAAUUCAGUGAAUCAUCGAAUCUUUGAACGCACAUUGCGCCCGCCAGCAUUCUGGCGGGCAUGCCUGUUCGAGCGUCAUUUCAACCCUCAAGCUCUGCUUGGUGUUGGGGCCCUACAGCUGAUGUAGGCCCUCAAAGGUAGUGGCGGACCCUCCCGGAGCCUCCUUUGCGUAGUAACUUUACGUCUCGCACUGGGAUCCGGAGGGACUCUUGCCGUAAAACCCCCAAUUUUCCAAAGGUUGACCUCG